AUGGACACGUCAGCGCCGGCAGCGAGUGCCUCCAUGAACUCCUUGGUCCCCGACCUGGCGAUGGUCCCGAGGUUGUUGACGAGGUCCGACUUGGUCAUGCCAAUGCCGCUGUCGACGAUCGUGAGCGUGCUGGUCGCCUUGUCGGGGAUGAUGUGGAUGAAGAGCUCGGGCUGCGCAUCGAGCUUGCUCUUGUCCGUGAGGCUCUCGAACCUGAUCUUGUCCAAGGCCUGCGAAAAUCACACACCACGUCAGCCCGGGAACACAGAUCUGAAACGCAUCUCGCACGCCACGAAUCAGACCGCGGGUCAACGGAUCUGGCUCGACGUAACCUAA
rnacentral:rRNA from 1 species